rnacentral:sRNA from 1 species
GAGUGUCGAUGAUCCACCUCCUCCUCCCAGGAUCGUCGGCCUGAGGCCCGCAGAACUCCUCCUCCCAUCUGCCGGCCAGAAUCAAGGGCCUGUCGCACCUCCUCCCGCGACAGGCCCUUUUU